GAUGAAGAACGCAGUGAAAUGCGAUAAGUAAUGUGAAUUGCAGAAUUCAGUGAAUCAUCGAAUCUUUGAACGCACAUUGCGCCCGGCAGUACUCUGCCGGGCAUGCCUGUUCGAGCGUCAUUUCAACCCUCAAGCCCUGCUUGGUGUUGGGGCCCCACGGCUGCCGUGGGCCCUGAAAGGAAGUGGCGGGCUCGCUACAACUCCGAGCGUAGUAAUUCAUUAUCUCGCUUAGGGCGUUGGGCGGCGCUCCAGCCGUUAAAGAACCAUCUUUAACUCAAGGUUGACCUCGGAUCAGGUAGGAAUACCCGCUGAACUUAAGCAUAUCAAUAAGCGGAGGA
rnacentral:misc_RNA from 1 species